rnacentral:tRNA from 1 species
GCUAUCGUCUUCUAAUGGACUAGGAAUACAGAUUUUCAUCCUGUGAAAUACGGGUUCGAAUCCCGUCGAUAGUA